rnacentral:rRNA from 1 species
GAUGAACGCUGGCGGCGUGCCUAAUACAUGCAAGUCGAGCGAACAGACGAGGAGCUUGCUCCUCUGACGUUAGCGGCGGACGGGUGAGUAACACGUGGAUAACCUACCUAUAAGACUGGGAUAACUUCGGGAAACCGGAGCUAAUACCGGAUAAUAUAUUGAACCGCAUGGUUCAAUAGUGAAAGACGGUUUUGCUGUCACUUAUAGAUGGAUCCGCGCCGCAUUAGCUAGUUGGUAAGGUAACGGCUUACCAAGGCAACGAUGCGUAGCCGACCUGAGAGGGUGAUCGGCCACACUGGAACUGGGACACGGUCCAGACUCCUACGGGAGGCAGCAGUAGGGAAUCUUCCGCAAUGGGCGAAAGCCUGACGGAGCAACGCCGCGUGAGUGAUGAAGGUCUUCGGAUCGUAAAACUCUGUUACUAGGGAAGAACAAAUGUGUAAGUAACUAUGCACGUCUUGACGGUACCUAAUCAGAAAGCCACGGCUAACUACGUG